GAUGAAGAACGUAGCAAAAUGCGAUAAGUAGUGUGAAUUGCAAAUUCAGUGAAUCAUCGAGUCUUUGAACGCACAUUGCGCCCCCUGGUAUUCCGGGGGGCAUGCCUGUCCGAGCGUCAUUGCUGCCCUCAAGCACGGCUUGUGUGUUGGGCCCCGUCCUCCGAUCCCGGGGGACGGGCCCGAAAGGCAGCGGCGGCACCGCGUCCGGUCCUCGAGCGUAUGGGGCUUUGUCACCCGCUCUGUAGGCCCGGCCGGCGCUUGCCGAUCAACCCAAAUUUUUAUCCAGGUUGACCUCGGAUCAGGUAGGGAUACCCGCUGAACUUAAGCAUAUCAUAAGCGGAGGA
rnacentral:misc_RNA from 1 species